AGCUCAUCCAGAGGGGCAGAGGGAUACGGCCCGUUGAAGCCCCGGCAACCCUCCAGCCGGCACUCGCAGAUCGUGCGCGAGGCCCCGGCUAGGGAAGGUGCCAAAUCCGUCUCAUGGCGAAGCGCGCCAUGAGGAAGAUGAGGA
rnacentral:ncRNA from 2 species